rnacentral:rRNA from 1 species
GCUCCCGGCCACCGCAAGGUGGUGUCAACACCCUCUGUCUACGUGUACCUCCUUGUUUCCUCGGCAGGCUUGCCUGUCGCUAGGAACCCCUUAAACCCUUGUAUCUAAAGUAUCCAAAACUCCGAUAACAAACAAAAUAUCACAACUUUCAACAAUGGAUCUCUUGGUUCUGGCAUCGAUGAAGAACGCAGCGAAAUGCGAAAAGUAGUGUGAAUUGCAGAAUUCCGUGAAUCAUCGAAUCUUUGAACGCACAUUGCGCCCCUCGGUAUUCCGUGGGGCAUGCCUGUUCGAGCGUCAUUUACACCCUCAAGCUCUGCUUGGUGUUGGGCGUCUGUCCCGCCUCUGCGCGUGGACUCGCCCCAAAGUCAUUGGCAGCGGUCAUGCCGGCUUCCUAGUGCAGCACAUUGCGCAAAGCCCCCGGCGGACCCGCGUCCAGCAAGCCUUCUAUAACUUGACCUCGGAUCAGGUAGGGAUACCCGCUGAACUUAA